GUUUCCCGCUUUUCCAUCACUUCCGGUCUCGAAGGGGCGGUUGCGGCGGGGCUCCGCGGGCCCGGGAUCCAGCGGCUGCCAUGAACUUCUCGGAGGUGUUCAAGCUCUCCAACCUGCUCUGCAAGUUCUCCCCCGACGGCAAGUACCUGGCCUCCUGCGUCCAGUACCGGUUGGUGGUUCGAGAUGCCAGCACCCUUCAGAUCCUCCAGCUGUACACGUGCCUGGACCAGAUCCAGCACAUCGAGUGGUCGGCCGACUCGCUCUUCAUCCUGUGCGCCCUCUACAGGCGGGGGCUGGUGCAGGUGUGGUCUUUGGAGCAGCCAGACUGGCACUGCAAAAUAGAUGAGGGCUCUGCAGGGCUGGUGGCUUCCUGCUGGAGCCCAGACGGGCGGCACAUCCUCAACACAACAGAGUUCCACCUGCGGAUAACUGUCUGGUCCUUAUGCACGAAGUCUGUGUCCUACAUCAAAUACCCUAAAGCUUGUCAGCAGGGAAUAACCUUUACCAGGGACGGCCGCUACCUGGCCUUGGCGGAGAGACGGGACUGCAGGGACCACGUGAGCAUCUUUGUCUGCAGCGACUGGCAGCUCCUGCGGCACUUUGAGACGGACACACAGGACCUGGCAGGGAUCGAGUGGGCCCCCAACGGCUGCGUGCUGGCGGCCUGGGACACCUGCCUGGAGUACAAGAUCCUGCUCUACUCCCUGGACGGCCGGCUGCUGUCCACCUACUGCGCCUACGAGUGGUCCCUGGGCAUCAAGUCGGUGGCUUGGAGCCCCAGCAGUCAGUUCCUGGCAGUCGGGAGCUACGACGGAAAGGUGCGCGUUCUCAACCACGUGACGUGGAAGCUGCUCGCAGAGCUGGGGCAUCCUGCGGCUGUCAGCAGCCCCAGCACAGUGGUGUACAGGGAGGCAGAGAAGAGCCCGCCACUGGCGCUGGGCCGCCUGGCCUUCCCUCCACCCAGAGCCCCGGCCGGUCCCCGGGCCACCACAGAGAGCAAAUAUGAGAUCGCCACGGUGCCGGCCUCCCUCCGGACUCUGAAACCCACGGCAGACAGAGCCAACCCGAGGAUGGGCAUCGGGGCCCUGGCCUUCAGUCUGGACAACUACUUCCUGGCCACGAGGAGCGGUCAGUGGCCCGUCCCACGGGUGUCGUGUUUCCUCCAGGCCCAGGCUGAGAUUCAGACAGUCUGAAAGGAAAGUCAGCUCGGGGCCUCCCACCUGUGGCUUCCGCCCGUCCUGCCCACGGAGCAGCCGCCUGUGUGUCUGGUGAUGAGCAGGGCCCCGGGCUGACAGGCGUACAGCAUCCCAAGCGCCGUCUGGAUCUGGGACGUCCGGAAGCUGAGGCUCUUCGUGGUGCUGGAGCAGCUGUCGGCUGUGCGGUCCUUCCGGUGGGACCCGCGGCAGCCCCGGCUGGCCAUCUGCACAGGGGGCAGCCAGGUGUACCUGUGGUCGCCGGCGGGCUGCGUGUCAGUGCAGGUGCCCGGAGAAGGCGACUUUCAGGUGCUCUCCCUGUGCUGGCACCCGAGCGGGGACUCCCUGGCUCUCCUCAGCAAGGACCACUUCUGCCUGUGCUUCCUGGAGGCCGAGGAAGGGGUCGGCACAGCCCUUGGGCAGCAGGACGACCACACAUAGAGCCUGGGCGUGAAUGGGCCCUGUAGCUCCUGUCGGCCACGGGAAAGGAACGGAGCUUCUGGGGCAAGUUCCCCUCCCAGACAGGCCAGAGGAAAUGGUUUGCUUUUAUUUUUCUAGAGCAAGGCAUUUUUGUAAAUAGGUGUGGCAUGCAACUGUAAUUUUUGUUAUUUAAAGUAAAUAUUUGCCAAUUCAUACAA